rnacentral:rRNA from 1 species
GGGGGCUUGCUCCCGGGUUAGUGGCGAACGGGUGAGUAAUAUAUCGGAACAUAUCCGGAAGUGGGGGAUAACGUAGCGAAAGUUACGCUAAUACCGCAUAUGCCCUGAGGGGGAAAGGGGGGGAUCGCAAGACCUCUCGCUUUCGGAGUGGCCGAUACCGGAUUAGCUAGAUGGUGAGGUAAAGGCUCACCAUGGCGACGAUCCGUAGCUGGUCUGAGAGGACGACCAGCCACACUGGAACUGAGACACGGUCCAGACUCCUACGGGAGGCAGCAGUGGGGAAUUUUGGACAAUGGGCGAAAGCCUGAUCCAGCCAUACCGCGUGAGUGAAGAAGGCCUUCGGGUUGUAAAGCUCUUUCAGCCGGAAAGAAAUCGCACUUUUUAAUACGGAGUGUGGAUGACGGUACCGGAAGAAGAAGCACCGGCUAACUACGUGCCAGCAGCCGCGGUAAUACGUAGGGUGCGAGCGUUAAUCGGAAUUACUGGGCGUAAAGCGUGCGCAGGCGGUUUGAUAAGCCAGAUGUGAAAUCCCCGGGCUUAACCUGGGAACUGCAUUUGGAACUGUCAGACUAGAGUGUAGCAGAGGGGGGUAGAAUUCCACGUGUACAUUGAAAUGCGUAAAUAUGUGGAAGGAAUACCAAUGGCGAAAGCAGCCCCCUUGGUUAAACACUGACGCUCAUGCACGAAAGCGUGGGGAGUCAAACAAGAUUAUAUACCCCUGGUAGUCACGCCCUAAACCAAUGUCAACUAGUUUGUUUGGGGGGAGAGAUC